AGAGGAGCUUGCUUUUCUUAGCUUAGUGGCGGACGGGUGAGUAACGCGUGGGUAACCUGCCUCAUACAGGGGGAUAACAUUUGGAAACAGAUGCUAAUACCGCAUAAGAUUACAGUACCGCAUGAUACAGUGAUCAAAGGAGCAAUCCGCUGAAAGAUGGGCUCGCGUCCGAUUAGAUAGUUGGUGAGGUAACGGCCCACCAAGGCAACGAUCAGUAGCCGGCCUGAGAGGAAGGUCCCCACAUUGGAACUGAGACACGGUCCAAACUCC
rnacentral:rRNA from 1 species